rnacentral:lncRNA from 1 species
AAACUGUAAUUUAAGCUAUAGUGUAUUUAUAAAUUUUUAUUAUUUAUUUAAAUAAAAGAUUUCUAAAUUUUAAAGUAAGUUGAAAUUGUUAAUUCAAUAUUGAAAAACAGAAUUAAAUUUCAAAUUUAUUGAUAAAAUUUAAAUUAUAAAUUUAGAUUUAAUUUAUAUUAUAGUUAAAAAAUGAAUUUUGUUAACUAUUUAAACAUAAAGUUUCGAUGCUUGAAAAUUAAUUUUAAACUAUAAAUUACUAAAUUUAUGACUCAACGUUAUCACAAAUUAUUAUUAAAAUCGGCCUUCAAAAUGGGUAAUCCAAUUAAAAACUCAUUCUGUCCACGAUUCAAUGGUAGUAUAAAUGCAAAACUAUUCAAUAUUAGUUAUUUAACUUUUUAAUAUUAGCUCUCUUCUUUUUUCUAGAAAAAUUUCUAAAUUCACAUACAUGGCGAUCGAUACUGCUUGUGCAAUGGCAGAUUAUCUUUUUUUAUGCAUAAAUUUUAAUCCUUCAUUGGUUAAAAAUAAGCGGCUAAAAUUAAAAUGGAGUAUUGAAGUAUUGCUCAAUAAAAUAUAAAUGUUAUGUUGGAUCGGGACUAGCA